GGACAGGUGGCUGAUUUUAGGCGGUGGGUUGUAAACUCAUUUAUGGGAAAAUUCCCCCGGUUCG
rnacentral:tRNA from 1 species